AUUGAACGCUGGCGGCAGGCCUAACACAUGCAAGUCGAGCGGAUGAAGGGAGCUUGCUCCUGGAUUCAGCGGCGGACGGGUGAGUAAUGCCUAGGAAUCUGCCUGGUAGUGGGGGAUAACGUCCGGAAACGGGCGCUAAUACCGCAUACGUCCUGAGGGAGAAAGUGGGGGAUCUUCGGACCUCACGCUAUCAGAUGAGCCUAGGUCGGAUUAGCUAGUUGGUGGGGUAAAGGCCUACCAAGGCGACGAUCCGUAACUGGUCUGAGAGGAUGAUCAGCCACACUGGAACUGAGACACGGUCCAGACUCCUACGGGAGGCAGCAGUGGGGAAUAUUGGACAAUGGGCGAAAGCCUGAUCCAGCCAUGCCGCGUGUGUGGAGAAGGUCUUCGGAUUGUAAAGCACUUUAAGUUGGGAGGAAGGGCAGUAAGUUAAUACCUUGCUGUUUUGACGUUACCAACAGAAUAAGCACCGGCUAACUUCGUG
rnacentral:rRNA from 1 species